rnacentral:rRNA from 1 species
UAGUCAUAUGCUUGUCUCAAAGAUUAAGCCAUGCAAGUCUAAGGAUAAACACUGUUUACCGUAAACCUGCGAAUAGCUCAUUAAAUCAGUUAUAAUCUAUUUGAUAAUUUAAUUUCUUAAUUGGAUAACCGUAGUAAUUCUAGAGCUAAUACAUGCAAAAAAUUCAGACUUUUCUCUUUUUGUAAAAGGAAAGGGGAAGGAAUGAAUGUAUUUAUUGGGUUAAAAAAAAUCAGUUUUUUGGGUUGGGGCAACUCAAUUCAAAAAAAACUUUAAAAAAUUUGGUGAAUCACAGUAAAUUUACGAAUCGAAUUUCUUUUUUUUAAAAGGGGAUUUGAUGAUACAAAUGAGUUUCUGACCUAUCAACUUUCGAUGGUAGUGUAUUGGACUACCAUGGUUAUGACGGGUAACGGAGAAUUUGGGUUUGAUUCCGGAGAAAAAGCCUGAGAGACGGCUAUUACUUCCAAGGAAGGCAGCAGGCGCGUAAAUUACCCAAUCCUAAUUCGGGGAGGUAGUGACAAGAAAUACUGAUAUUGAUCCCAACGGGAACAAUGAUUGGAAUGAGAACAAUUUAAAAAACUUAACGACUAACAAUU